UCCGUAGGCGGAUUGAUAAGUCAGAGGUGAAAUCCCACAGCUCAACUGUGGAACUGCCUUUGAUACUGUUAGUCUUGAGUUAUAUGAAAGUAGAUAGAAUGUGUAGUGUAGCGGUGAAAUGCAUAGAGAUUACACAGAAUACCGAUUGCGAAGGCAGUCUACUACGUAUAUACUGACGCUAAUGGACGAAAGCGUGGGGAGCGAACAGGAUUAGAUACCCUGGUAGUCC
rnacentral:rRNA from 1 species